GUGUUUUCUUUGGCAGCACGUAUAUUAAAAUUGGAAAGAUACGAAGAAGAUUAGCAUGGCCCCUGCACAAAAAGCAUAAUAAACAUGGAAAUGUGUAUUAUAUGA
ensembl:snRNA U6 U6 spliceosomal RNA